AUUGAACGCUGGCGGCAGGCUUAACACAUGCAAGUCGAGCGAGCGGCGGACGGGUGAGUAAUGUCUGGGAAACUGCCUGAUGGAGGGGGAUAACUACUGGAACCGGUAGCAAAUACCGCAUACGAUCAGAUGUGCCCAGAUGGGAUUAGCUAGUGGGUGGGGUAAAGGCUCACCUAGGCGACGAUCCCUAGCCGGUCUGAGAGGAUGCCCAGCCACACUGGGACUGAGACACGGUCCAGACUCCUACGGGAGGCAGCAGUGGGGAAUAUUGCACAAUGGUCGCAAGCCUGAUGCAGCCAUGCCGCGUGUGUGAAGAAGGCCUUCGGGUUGUAAAAUACUUUCAGCGGGGAUGCGUUACCCGCAGAAGAAGCACCGGCUAACUCCGUGCCAGCAGCCGCGGUAAUAC
rnacentral:rRNA from 1 species